UCUCUCCCGACUCUUCCACUUCAUCAUCUACUCCAACUUCUAUUUUUUUUUCGUUACUUUCUCAAUCAGUGACGAUGUUAAAGGGAUUCUUAAAAGUUUUGCUCUACCUCUCUUUGAUAAUCCUCCUAUAUAAAGUUCUAUCUCUAAACCUAAAUCCAUCCUAAAAAAAAAACUAUUCGGCAGAAACGACAUCAAUGGCUAUUAAAUCCACCACGAAGUCUCAGAUUACCACCGGAAAAUCUCCAGUCACCAUGUAUUUCAACGACAUCUCACCAGGACGAUCAACUUUUGGGAGACACAAAACAUAGCCGAAGCUGGAGCCUCUCUUGGAUUAGAGCUACGGCCAUGGAAUCCAACGGAAAGUCUCCCGUCUCCACCGGAAAGUCUCCCGUCUCCACCGGAAAGUCACAAGCUGUGAAUCCCUUGGAACAGAAUCUACUGCUACAGAUGACGAAAUCACAUUGACGGAUGAAGAGAAGCAUAGAAACAUCAGAAUCUGUGACAUGCUUUUCACAGCAACGUCUCAUUGCCUUGCUGAUUUCAUCUUCUCUCUUGGCAACCAUUGCCUGCAAUUGAGUGACAGAGAGAGAAUAGACGUUAAGCUGAACUUCACAUCUGAUCUCAGGUUCGUAAAUCAAAUGAAAUAUAACCUUCUUAUCGUUUCUGACUUCAUGGUGGAGAAUAGGUUCAAUAGAGGAGAUAGAUACAAAGACAGCUAUAACAGUUAUUACUACCUAUACACAAUUAAUAACUGGGAUCUUAAAAGAGAUAGAUACAUUCAAAGACAGUAAUCUUUGGUGUUACUA